rnacentral:rRNA from 1 species
UACGGAGGGUGCGAGCGUUGUCCGGAAUCAUUGGGCGUAAAGGGCGCGUAGGUGGCCCGGUCAGUCAGUGGUGAAAGCGCGGGGCUCAACUCCGCGUCGGCCAUUGAUACUGCUGGGCUGGAGCACUGUAGAGGCAGGCGGAACUCCGGGUGUAGCGGUGGAAUGCGUAGAGAUCCGGAAGAACACCGGUGGCGAAGGCGGCCUGCUGGGCAGUUGCUGACACUGAGGCGCGACAGCGUGGGGAGCAAACAGG